AGCAGCAUCCAGAGAACAGUUCUCAGGAAGUGUGACAAAGUUUUAACGUUACAGAUAUAGUAAACGGUGGAUUUGUAGAAUAUCAUACACUCUGUAGUAUUCAAUUGUUGAAAGGGGGAAACAUUAUUAUACUCUUUUCAUAAAAUGUUUUUUAAAAAAAUCAAUCAGGUCUUUGGUAUCAACGGUUACACUUAUUGCAGUUGGUCAACCCAGCGCGAGACGGUUUCCGACCAAUGACGAGGCUGCAUUCAUUGCCCCCAAAGAAACGGUCUAACUGUCAAUUUUACUGACACCUAAAGCACAAUAAAGUUUUCCACUACGCUAUUAACUAGCUCUUUGUGUUUCGGUGUACAUUUGUUUAUAAAAAAGUAAGCCGUCUUAAAUUGAAAUGGCUGCUCUGGACUCAAACCCCAAAGACAAAGUUGAAGAAGAGGAAGAAGAAAAAAUAUAUCAGUUGAUUUAUAACAUGGACUCUACGGAUAACAUGGAGGAGGAAGAAGAGGUUUCAUCCAGCCCUGAGCAAACACCUGUGUAUUUGGAUAUUGAUAGCAGAAAGAGGCCACAUGCAGUUGCUAGUUCUACAAAGAGAGUAGACAUGGAUGCAUUGGACAGUAUCCUAGGGGUCCCAGUAUUGGAGGUGAACAUUGAUUCUUUAGAGGAGAAACCCUGGAGGAGAGCUGGUGCUGACAUCUCAGAUUACUUCAACUACGGCUUUGAUGAAGAAAGCUGGAAGGCCUACUGUAAGAAACAGGCCAAACACCGUGCAGCCCAUAGAAAGAAGGCCCACACUAAAAUUACGGUCCAGGAGGGGCACAAUAGACAUGGAAAAGAAGAGCCUUGUUGUUCUUAUUCCUGCUCGGACAGCCGAUCAGUACUAGCUCCCAGAGUGUCAAGUGCUGCCAUUGAGGUGACUGGAGGACAACCUGGAUCCAGCAGCAGGGUGAAAGUGUCUCCAAGUCUCAGUAAUGAAGAAGGCAAUACUCAGGUGGUUACUGAGAUGUCCCCCGAGGAGAAUAGAUUUACUUCUUUUCAACAGCCUCCUUCACUCAGUUUCACCCCUAUCUUUCCAUAUACCCCUCCACCACGUUUCCUCUUCCUACAAGAAGGCCCUUCUCUCUUCAACAUUGCUGCUUUGGACAGUGGACUUUCUAAAGGCUUUGAUGAUCCCUCAACUUCACUAUACCCAUAUUCAUCAGGUGUAUCAUCUGCAAUACCAGGGAGUAGGGCCUCAAGCGCUGAAAUGAUUGACACUGCCAAGGCCUGGGAAUGCCACAUAUGGCAGGAUAUGGAGGAAAAGUAUGACAAGGACAGCAACAGACACAAAGAACAUGGCCAUGAUAAAGACAGCAAAAGAGGCAGAGAUAGAGAAAGACAGAGCUGUCCUUCACACAACAGGUUUUGUUUUAGAUUUAGGAGGCACUAGUGCAGUGCCUGUUCAAAACGUUCCUGUUCGGAAAGGGCCGAUUUGUUUGGCCUCCAGCUGCUACUUCAACGCACAGAAAAAUUAAUACAGUUGGUUUGAGUGUCACUUCACAAUCACCACGGUCUCAGAACAUGUGAGACAUACUGGUUUUGAACUGCCUGUGGGAAGAGUUCUCUCAUGAGCCUGCACUCCACACUGCGCUUCCUUGGGUCCUCAGCAAUACACCCGCCGAGUGUGAAGUUGAUCGGAUGAACGGUUAUAGAGAAAAUCGAAUAUUGGCUGCCAGCUGAGGUAGAGAGAGAGAGAGAGAGAGAGCAAGAAAGCCAAAGCAAUAACCUUUUAAACAGUAAUGAAACUAAGACUAUUAUAACAUGUAAAACAUUAUGAUGUUGCUGUUUCUGUAUAGAUACAGAAACGACACCUGAUUGGUUGCUGUAUGUUGCAGCUGUGUGUCUGUGCGUCCGCCAUAUUGGAGAAGUCAAGAUCCGCUAGUAAACGAAUGCAGCACCAGAGACAGUUUAGAAAUUAGUAAUUUCCUGUAUCAGUGUCAUGUGAGUUUCGCCACUGCACUGCCCCUUUAGGAGACUAGCGGCAGGUCCUGAGUCUCUUUGUGUUGUUUUCAUAUUUUCAUUUUGUUGUUUUGAUAUAGAGCAUCUUUGGCAGUGCUGGUAUUUACGCCGGUAUUUGCGGCCCUCAUAUUGGAGAAGUCAAGAUCCACUAAAUGUUUUCUUUUAAUGCUAUCUUUAACAUUUCUCAUCCAAACAACUUCACACUCGACACUACACUUCCUUAGGUCCCCAGCAAUAUAAGUGUGAAGUAGAUCAGAUGAACGGUUGUCGAGAAAAGUGAAGAACAGACAAACACACACACAUACACACACACACAGAGAGACUCCUUCCUUUAUAGUUAUAAUUAUAGAUAUAACAUGAUCCAAAUUGUUUCUAGGAGAUAAAAUUGCCACUUUCCUUCUACCAUAGGCAAACAAGGGUACGGUAAAAUCUGCCAGUUUCUUGAUUUUCCCUAGCUGCUUUUGUGCCUGAUGCCACUUUUAUCCUGGCUUCAGGGUCUGUCUUAGGGUCUAUACAUUCUUCCACCCACAUCUGUUUUUAUUUUUCCUCUACCCUACAUACUUAGCCCUCAAUGUGAAAUACUUUCUGUUUUUAUGCCACAACUACACUCAUGAAACACAUUUAUUUACAGGGCCAAUCUUUGGGCCUGUACAUCCUCUUUUCCUUCCAUCAUGUGCCAUUAACAGCCAGCAACACUUGCUCACAAGCUGAGGUUAAAGCUCCCUUCUCAAGGGCAAUGGUUAUCUUUUACAAGAUAUGUUUGUUUCUCACAGCUGCAGUUUCCACUUUUUGACCUGAGCCCCCAAUUUUGUUCGAUUUUAUACUCAGCCUCCCACGGAAAUAUUGUCUUCUAAGAGAUUGGCUUCUGGCGAAAACUGAUUGGCAUCGGUGUCACAACAACAGUCCCCUCAAAAACAUAUUCAAUAAGAUAGCACAGUAUAAUGGACCAAAACAAACAAGGAAAAUACUGUAUUAGUGUAGGGAAAAAGUUUUGGUUACUAUCCUCCCAUAGUGAGACCAGAUAAACAGGGGUCGGGUUUUUAUGUGACAGAAAAUAAAGGUUUAGUUUUAUGAAAAUCUUUUUGAAACAAAAAUUUUUUGUUUCUUCAGUAAACAAUGCUGCCUCUUCACAUAAAUGUUGGUUUCCUUGUUGACAUGCAUGGAGAGAAAAACAAACAAAAUAAGUGCCUGAAAUUUUUGGCAUAGUGGGUGUACAGUUGCUCUUAGAUAACCUUCCACCAUGGGAUGUGUCAAAGUUACCAAAUAAGGUCACAUUAGUAGAAUAUACAUAUAAAUUGGCAGUAAUAUGUAAAUAUCAAGAAUGAUUAUGGCAGAAUGGAAUAGUACUUUUGAACAAGAGAGAAGAGACAGAGGGAGCAACAGAAAAGCCACAUUAGAUUACAUUAUGUUAUUUGGGUUAUAUUCUUGUUUUAAAAAUGCCAUUUUAUAAUCCUCAGAGAACAAACCCUUGCCUUUACAGAAAAACUGUCUUAUUGCUGACUCUAAAGCUCUGCCACACUAGCCCAGGUGGGUUUCUUUUGGCAAUCAAAUUCUCCACCAUAACCCAGCUAAAAUAAUAACAUCUCCUGCUCCAUGAGUCAUUCGACAUUUAAUCCUGCCUCCCCACUCCCGGCUGCUAUUUAUUUUUGUGGAUAUUACUUUCAUUUUAAUUGUGUCAAUCAUAAAUAGUGUUUCUUAUCUGUGGUAAGAUUCACUGAAUCAUGUUGGUUUCUCACAUAAGUGACUGUAAGGAUGAAGUGGACAAAAUUGCACAGCGGUAGGCCCGGGCAUCUCAUGAAAUCUGUGAUACUGGUCGCCCUGACAGGCCUGGGCACUAAUGAUGAAUAAAAUCAUGAAAUGUGAAAACAAAUCCUGAGGCUCCCAUGCUAUAAUAUACUCUAGUUCCUUGAACACUAUCUCCUUGGGAACCAUUUGUCAGUGUUCUUGGUGUUAUGUGAGGUGGUUGUUUCUGUGUUAAAGCUAAUGGCUUUGAGCAAGAACAAAUAUGGGCCUUGGGUCCUAAUCCCUGCUGCUAACAGAAG